UUUAACCUUCUCUCUAUUAACAAAGUUUCUCAUAUUGUUUCUCUCUUUUUUUCAUCCCUUUCUCCUGAGAAAUAUUUAAAGGUAGAAGGGUAUGAAGUUAGUAGGUAUGCUUACCUUUUUCUCAACUCCAUCACAGUCAUAGCAGAGGGUGCGCCAUCAUCAAUGGAUCAUAGAUCUCCCCGAAGUUCGUUAUCGUAGACAAUUGCCGAUUGAUCUAGACAUUGGCGGUGCUUUGAAGGGCAUAGUUGUCUAUGUCAUGUGAGGACAAAGGAACACCUAUUUCUAGCACCCGCUUCCUUCGCUCUUGUUGAGCCUUUUGAGCGCCAAAAACAAUUGCCUCUGAAGCCCCUUCUCUCUGCUCUAUAUAGAGGAUAAGAGUUUUUUUGUCUCCGCAUCUAGAUCAGAUGACGUCUUGAUAAGAUGUCAUUGACAUUGAGAACAUAUGCAUAAAUGCAUCAAAUGUUUUCCUUGCAAUGGAUGACAUUUCUCGUAAAAGUUUUGAUGCAUGUACCUUUUUUUGUCAAUAACGAUUUCCCUUCUGUUCUAGGACACUCAAGUGCUAAUCAAUUUCAAGAAAAAUUGAGUUACCUGGAGGGCAUAAACACAAACAACCAAAGCAUAAAAUCUCGAAAACACAAAAUAAACUAAAAAUUGAUAAAAUGCUUAAAUAACUUACGAAAAUGAAAACUAAUUUAAAAGGUACCACAAUGCGCACAAAGUGUUCCAGAAUCCUUGAUUUCUUGCCGAAUAAGUAAUGAAAACAUAGUGAAAAUGGUGACAGAUCACAACCCCAAACUUAGCUCAUUGCUUGUCCUCAAGUAAUGUUCUACACGACAAAGUGUGUCACUUCCCAAAAUUGAAUUCUUACCACAAUACUGCGAAGAUCUUUCGCCAACGCCUUCAUUCUCCCUUUCAUAGUCCUUGCUUUUCCUAAUGAAUUUUCCUCCGCACUUCCACAUUGACGUACUGCUUCAUCUGUCAGCUUAUAUCACACUCUCACCAAGUCUCUCUAGGUUAAAGUGUUUACACUCAUAUUUCAUAAUAUGCAAUAUCAACUCAUAAGUUUGAAUAGUCUCUCCUUUCGUAUCAACUACAUAUAACACACACUUUUUUGAGGUCUUUUGGGUUGUAAUGGAUUUUGGGUUAAGGUGUGGUAAAUAGAAACAAAAAGGGAAAACAAGUGGUUUGAGUUUAGAGCCAAUGUCAUUAUUCUUUUCACUGUGCUGGUUCUACAUCUCAUUUUUAAUUUCUUUUUCUUUUUCAGUUUGUAUUGCUCAGUUUUCUUAUUUUUUCUUUGAUUUUCUCUUCUCUUUUUUUAAUUGAGUGUUUCUCAUUCGGUGAGUGCUUUCCUCGUACCAUCGAAAAGAAAAUUUUCUUUUGUUUUCUUUUUUUUCGAUGGUCAUUUUUUAAUUUUUUUUUUUCGCACUCACAUUAUUUUAAGAUACUUAUGGGGUUACCCCAAACUUAGACUUUACACAGCUUAAAGACAUAACAUUGACUCUGAACAGGGUAAGGAAGUGUUUGGGUUAUGAUUUACAUUCAUGUGGUUAUAUAAACAAACAAAGGGUACAAGCUCAACGAGGUUAACAAGGGAUAAUUCAAGGGAUGAAUAGAAAGGCUCAGGGUUAUUAUUCAAACAACGUGCCUCAGUGUGUGUAUAUAUUCAGUGAUAUUUCCAGAGAACCUACGCAAAGUCAGAGUGAUAAAGACAUACCUGAAUAUCGCUCAUGAUGACAAAUGUGUUUGGCUUUUUAUGCACUCACCAUGUUAGGUAAAGCUUGACAGCAUCCACAGUACUUCAAGUAUGAUGUGACUUCUUACUCAACUCUGAAUGCACAGAGAACCUACGUUAGUCGAGCUUGAGAAGUUGUGUCCGAUCUUUUCUUCAGCAAUAUCAACCUUUUUGGGAAGCUCAUUCACAACAAGAAACCGUAAAUGGAGUGAUCCUUUCAUCCACUACCACUAAUGGUCAUCACCUAAUCCAACAAUACACCAAGAACCUGAAAUACAUGCAGCAAAUGAUACCUAACAGUAAAAAUAAACCAAAUGUAAAACAAUAAAAAUUUGGAAAUAAUAGAAUAAAACAUAAAACAAAACAAAAAAUAAAAGCAAAAAGCAUAGUAAAACCUCCCCCGCACUUGAACUAAACAUUGACCUCAAUGUUUUAGAACAAGAUAGAUGGAGGGUGGCUCAUAGUGCCCUACUGAUGAGGCUGGGGAGGAAAGUGCAAUAUCAACGGUUGCAUCAUCAGGUUCAUCUCAUCCAACACCGCCUCUUGCCGAGCCUACUCGAUGCCUUGUCUUGAUUUCUCGGUCCGAAGAUCAUCGAGCUCAAUUUGCGCCCAUGCCCACUGGUCGUGACUCAUGGAUGAUGACCUAGUGCCCUGAUGGAAUGGAUCUUGGGGCGGGGGUACAAACGGUUCCUACUGUUGCUCGUCUUCAUUCAUGUGCUCACCUGCAACCAAAUUUUCAGCAUCGUAGCCUUCCUUUAUAUCAGGGCCAACUUAACCGACAUGAGUAUCCUGUACAUUCCACAGUAAGGAAGAGAUCGCACCAAACUAAUGAGUAUCGUGGAUCAUGUCAAAGCUGAACCAAACAAAGAGAGUCAUAAAAAGCCAAACACAUUGAUCAUCAUGAGCGACAUUCAGGUUUGUCUUUAUCACUCUGAAUUUGCGUAGACUCUCUGGAACUGUCACUGCAUGAUACACACAUUUAGGCACGUUGUUUGAAAUUAACCCCGAUCCUUUCUAGCCAUCCCGAAUAAUUAUAUCCCUCGUUAACCCCAUUUGAGCCUAUAUCCAUUUGUUUGUUUAAACCUCAUAAAUGUACCCCUUGGCCAAAACACGUCCUCACCCUGUUCAGAGUCAUGAUAAUACAUUCAAACUGUGUUGAAAAGCUAAGUUUAGGGUAAAAACCCCAAAAGCUCCCAAAGCCCAAGAAAGUGCAAGAACAAAAGAAAAAGAAAAAUUGAUGAAUCGAGAGAAAGAAAGAAAAAGAAAAAAAAAGAAAAAUGAUAACUCGAAGAUUCAAAAAGAAGUACGGAAAAGGGCAUUCGUUAAAGAAAAAAAAUAAUAAGAAAAGAAAACCGAGGAAAUAAAAGAAACAAACACAUGAUGUGACAUCGACUCUGAACCAAAAGCCACUUGUUUUCCUUUUUUAUAAUCCAUCCCCUAACCCAAGCCAAGUUACAACCCGAAAGACCUCAAAAGUGUGUGUGUUGUGUGUAGGUGAUAGGAAAAGAGAGACUAUUCAAACUUAGGAGUGAUAUUGCAUACUUUGAAUUAUGAGUGUAAAUAGUUUACCCCGAGAGAAUUGGUGAGAAUGUGAUAUAAGCUGACAGGUGAAACGGUGCUUUAAAGUGAAAGUGCGAAUAAAGACUUACAAAGAAAAGCAGGAUUUGUGGAAGGAAAAGGGAAGACGUUGGCGAAUGAUCUCAGCAGUGGUGGAAAAUAAUAAGAGUUCUGGGGAGUGACAAUGUGUCUGAAACAUUACUUGGGACAAGCAAUGAGCUAAGUUUUGGGUUGUGAUCAGUCACCAUUUACAUUGAGUUUUCAUUACUGAUCCGACUCGAAACAGAGGCUUUUGACACACUGUGCAAGCAUUUAUGAUACAUUUCGAGUUAGUUUUACUUCCGUCAUUUUACUUAAGCAUUUUUAAUCAUUGUUAUGUUUUACUUUUUAUUUUGUGAUUUUAUGCGUGGGAUAGCUGUGUUUUUGUCCAACAGGUUCAAGUAGAAGAACCAGAGAACUCAAAAUGAGACAGUGCGAGAUUCCGGCAAGCAAAGGAGAAGAAAACCCCGGUACAGGAGGCCUGACACGGCUACCCGUGUCACCUGACACGGGCCGUGUCAGCCAGAACAGUAGGCUGACAUGGCCACCCGUGUCAGCUGACAUGGGUCGUGUCUGCCCAAGCCCAAAAAUCCAGUUUUUCUCGGGCUUUUUGUUCGUCGGGCUUUUUAGAGAUAUCUUUGGACCUGUCCAACUGCUGUUGGGAAUUUUCACUAUAAAAGGAGGUCUUCUGCCAAAGGAAAAAUCAUCUUGGAAUACGGCAAAACAUAGUAUUGUGAAGCAAUCAAGUAUUACAGAGAUCAAGGCAUUUAGAGAGCUGAAGAUAUUCAUGAGCGGGAGCGAUUGAAGAUCAAAGUCAUCAAAUUACUUGUAAUGUGUAAUUUUUAUCUUGAAUUUGUUUUAAACAAUAUGAGUAGCUAAACCCCCCGAUGCUAGGGGGUGUCCUUGAUUUAGAAUUGUAAAGAAUUUGAGUUUACAUUUGCAUUUAUAAUAUUGUUUUUACGGUAACCUUUUGACGUGUUUA